AUUGAACGCUGGCGGCAGGCUUAACACAUGCAAGUCGAACGAGUGGCGGACGGGUGGGUAAUGUCUGGGAAACUGCUCGAUGGAGGGGGAUAACUACUGGAAACGGUAGCUGAUACCGCAUACCAUCGGAUGUGCACCGAUGGGAGUAGCUAGUAGGUGGGGUAACGGCUCACCUAGGCGACGAUCCCUAGCUGGGCUGAGAGGCUGACCAGCCCCACUGGAACUGAGACACGGACAAGACGCCUACGAGAGGCAGCAGUGGGGAAUAUUGCACAAUGGGCGCAAGCCUUAUGCAUCCAUGCAGCGUGUAUGAAGAAGGCCUUCGGGUGGUAAAGUACGUUCAGCGGGGAGGCGUUACUCGCAGAAGAAGCACCGGCUAACUCCGUGCCAGCAGCCGCGGUAAUUC
rnacentral:rRNA from 1 species